ensembl:snRNA U6 U6 spliceosomal RNA
GUGCUGGCUUUGGCAACACAUACACUAAAAAUUGAAAAGAUCAUUGAGAAAAUUAGCAUGGCCCCUGUGUGAGGAUGGCAUGCAGGUUUGUGAAGCAUUCUGUGUGCUA